rnacentral:rRNA from 1 species
GUUACAGUUGGAGCGCCCGAAGGCAAGUGAUCUUUCCUAGACCAGGCUGAACCCUUCCCAUUGGGACAGGAGGAGGGCCGAACCCGUGAACGUGGCAAAGUUCUGGGAUGAGUUUUGGAAAGGAGUGAAAGGCUAAUCAAACUUGCGCCUAGCUGGUUUUUCGCGAAAAGUAUUAAGGUACUGCUUUAAGUUAUUUUUUUGUAUUUAGGGAGAAGAAAGGGAAAGCACAGGUCUAAGCUGCAACUUUUCUAAUCAAACCUAGAAGCAUAAAAUCAAACAAACUUAAAAGUUAGGCUAUGGAUGCUAAGGUCCUUAGCCAAAAAGGAAACAACCUAGAAAAAUUCAAACGGUCCCUAAGCAUAGUUUGUUUUAGUGUUUAUGGAAUUCAAAAAGCAUUGACCUUAAGAAGAUAGGCUUGGAAACAGUCAGUCUAGAAUGAAAACGUAAUAGUUCACUUAAAGAGCUUUUUGGAACCUCAAAUAAACGGGGCUUUAAACUAUCACCCUACGAUUUUUAUGUGAAUUUA